UAUUAUCUCAUUAUAUAUUACAAUGUAGUAAUAAUAGAAAUAAAGUGCACAAUAAGUGUAAUGUGCUUGAAUCACCCCUAAACUAUCUCCCUACCCCUUGUCUGUGGAAAGAUUGUCUUCCAUGAAACUGGUCCCUGGUGCCAAAACGGUUGGGAACCGCUGCUUUAUAGCACUCAAGAUAAGCAAAGUGCCUGCAGCCAAGGAUGUGAGUCACCAGAACUAGGUGGAAGAACCACUCUGAGAAAGAAACUGCUAGCACAGGAAAGCAAAAACGACUUCCUCUUGCAAUCGUGUCUUAAGAAUUUCUGUUAGAAUUUUCUUUUCCAUUUCUUUCUCUUUUUUAUUUUCUUUAUAAACUUUUAAAGCCAGUUUCACAACUUGCAUAUAAAGAAUGUCAGCUGCUUUAUUAGUGGUGUUCCACUUGGCACUUAUAGGGAAGCCGGGCAGUCCCGGUUCUUAGGAUAAACACACUUUAUAGUGGAUUUUCUUUAUCCAGCCCAGCAGGCUGGCUCUUUCCUUGGGAAUAAUAUUGGGCAUGUGAUUGUUCCAUCUUCAGAUCCUGUAUCAACCCGCACAUGCUCUUCCAGCUUGCAGCUUUCAAAACCAAAGACAUGGCUCCCAAACUAGCUACUUUCCAAAUCUAUUUUAAUGAAGGUGCUUCAGGGAGCUGAUGAUACCAAUCCACAAAACAAUUUCACAGGGAGAACUGGGCCCAUUGUCUCAGCUCUGUGUCUUAGUAGCUUUGCAAAAGAUCAUUUCCCAGAGCCUGAGUUUCCAAUGACAUAAAUGCAAACAAUUUGUAAAAUCUAACUCAUUACACUGAUGUGGAUGAUUAUAAUAUGCAUAUUGAUGUCUAGAUUGCUGACUUUUGAGAGUAUAAUAAAGCAAAUGUUACAAAGAAGGUGAAAAUGCAAAUAUAUAUUAAGAAUCUGCUUUAAGCUAGGCAUGUGCUGGCUUUAUAUAUGGUUCUAUUUAUUUGAUUUUUAAUACAAUUUUAUAAGAAGAGAGUAUUAGUUAUAUUUGAUAGGUAAAAUAAUGAGGACUCAGUUAUUCAGAGUCACACAGGCAGCAAACAGAGGGAUUGGGAUUCUACUUAUAAACGAUUUGACUUUAUACCAGUGCUCUUUCAACUGGACUAGGUGGCUGCUGCCACACAAUAAAUCACACCAUCAGAGAAUCUUCUAGGUAACUGUUUCACUAAAAUGCAAUUUCUCUGAACAAAGAACGACAAUUUUUGGCCAGGAGAGACAUUCUGAGACUAUACAAAAGUAUACAAGGAUCACUUACCUUCUUAAAAAAUAUUGUUCUGCCUGUGAUCCUUUUAGAAAAUAGAAAACAACAAUAGAAAACUCCAGUGGAGAUUUAAGAAUUUAGUUCAGAACAUUACAUUCCUUUAGAUUAUAGUUUAGCAAAAAUUGGUGGAUUAUUCAUUUAUGAAAAAGAUUAAAUCUCUGACAACGUACAUAAUAAAAACUACCAUACAUAUUGAUAUUUAAUUUAAUAAAUAUCAAUACAUAUUAAUAUUUAAUUGAUUUAUUGAAAAGAAUAGAGAGAUUGGGCAAGGUUGCUAAGGGUCAGGUUCACUCUGACAAAGGUCUGGUCUCUCUGAUUUCCACCAUUGCUUAACUUAUUCCAAAAUAUGUAGCCUCAUUUUAAGGUAAAUAACUAUGAGACGAGAGACAAGUGUGAAAACAUUGUGUUUUCUUUCCAGGACGCUGAAUUGAACUGAUGUCAUUGUAAAAAGGGAAAUGAGUUCUCUGGCUAGGUUUGGGGAACAAACCUCAGACUAUCAAGAGUUCUUGAAUUUUGUGACCAGUGUCCUGAGCAAUUGGCUUCAUCUAGGCCUCAGAUCACAAAACAGAGUUGUAUAAAAUGGAAAGUGCAAUGCUUUUUUAGUAAAAUAACUUUUCUCUUCCUUCCUUUCUUGCUUUUUUCCUUCCUUCCUUCCUCCCUCCCUCCCUCUCUUCCUUCCUUCCUUCCUUCUUUCCUUCCCCCACUUUUUUUUUGGCAGGGGGAUAGAAUGUAAGACUAUAUAUAUCAGAUAAUUCUCUGGGCUACAUUUUAAAAUUUUCAUCUGAUAAUUUACUUUUGUUUCUGUGUGGUAGGAGUGAGAGCUCUCAAUUAUUUAGCACUAAUUGUGUGCCAGGUUCCAUCUGAAGGCUUGACAAGAGUCACCUUAAUUCUUUGCCAUAUUUUGAGGUAGAUACUACUGGCACCAUUUUUUAGACUGAGAAAGGAGAUGUAGAAAGGAUAAGAUGUUGUCCAAAUCCACAUUGACAGUAAGUUUUGGACAUGAGUCUUUAAUCUAGCAAUAUCCGACUUUAGAGUGUGUUCUUAAGCACUACUCUAUAAGUUUUAAGCAGCUCCUUUAUGAUGUCAUUGAACCGGGUUUUCCAGUCACAUUAUACAUGUGGAGAUUAAGACCCAUAAUAACAAUGACAACACUUUCAUAACAGUUCAUCUGUGUUAACAUACAAAUUCUCGCAGCAACACUCCAGGUCUCACUCCAUUGCUCAGGCUGGAACUUUUAUGAUUUUUUUAAGCUCAUAAGGGAGUAAUUCUUAAUUGUUAGGUGGAGCUCAAGAAGGGUCAGUGAAGACCCGCAAAGUGGUCAAAAUGCCAGGCUGAGCUGCUCUUCAGUUUGGAUGCCUGCAACAAAAAUGAAACAAAACAAGAAAACAAGCAAAAAAAAAUCACUUUUUGUUCUGUAAAACUUUACAUUUGGAAACUUACCAACUGGUAACAUGAGAGGAUUAAAUGAAGAUAACGAUCAAGUAAAAUAACUGGCAUAGCACCUGGUUCUAAUAGGCUUCUAUAAAUGCUGCUUCCCACCACUCCUCUCUCUUCCACCUGUUUCACCUUUUGAGAACCCUGAAUCAUGACUUCCAGCUACAUUAUGCCUGGGCAUCAUGACUAUUCAGCUCCCUGAAGGGAAUGCCUUCUGAUGAUUGACACUUAGUAUCUCUUUCUUACUCCUCUGCCUAUCCCCUUGUCUUAUUCCCUUACUACUCUCAACCAGGAAGCUGGAGUAGCUGAAAGUAGAUUUCUUCCAACACGAAAAUGCCUAGGUCAUUAGGUACAUAAGAGGUGCUAACUAACUGAUAAAUAAAUAAGGAGAGAGACAGAGAGAGAAAGGAAGGAAGGAAGGACAAAACCUAAGAUAGUAUAAGCCACUGCUAACCUGUGAUGUUAGAUCUAAGACGUCAAAGAGGAACUGGAGUGCUGGUGAUUCCACCACUGUGAUGCCUUGCUGUGGUCACAGUGCAAGCGCUGGGUAUAUAUGUCAUUCUAAACUGGAGAUAUAGGACCUAUUUCAUGUGAGAACAAGCCUGUUUGAUAUCAGACAUCACCUGGUCAAGCCCUAGCAUUGACCAUUAUUCCAAAGAAAUAAAAAAACUCCUCUGUGAGAUCAGGCUCAAAGGACAGGACUUGAGUUUAAAAUAAAUUUCUGAAAAGACUCAAAAUCAAAGAGCAUGAAGUUGUGGCUAACCUGCAGAGAAUGCCUAUGGAUUUGCUUUUUAGUUCUCAGAAAAUGAGAUGAGCGGGGCAUCAGCUGAAGUUGAGAAGGACUAAAUGUAGAGACACCUAAGGAGAUUACUACUUUUUAUAGUGAUUAAUGCUCUUAAUGAAGUCAUUCUUCCAACUUACCACUUUGUAAGAGGUUUAUAUACAUUCACAGCUGCCCCUCUUCCUUCAGCAAACCAAUGGUAUGGGAGAUAUAGCACUUGACUUGGAAUCAGGCAGUCUGAUUUAGAAUCUGGCUUUUCACUAUCAGCUGUAUUAGCAUGGUAAGUCACUUAAAUGUUCUAAUCCUUGUUGUCCACUCCACUCCCCACUGCAAAAUGAGGAUAUAGUAGAUUCUGCUGGUGCCCAUCCAGCCCCAUUCCCUUUCCCAGACCAGUGCACCCACUCUCCAGCUACCAGAAGUGCUGGCUGAUAAUGGCUGACAGUUGCCACUUUGCCAGGAGAAAUGUCCUUGUCUGGAGAAAUGUCCUUGCACCUCACCUCCUUCCCCUCAUAGCUCACUGGCAAUGAGUAGCCAACAUCAGUAAUGGGGAGUAAUAAUGAAUGUCUAUUUCACAGAGUUGUUAGGAUGAAAUAAUUUAGCAUACAUGAAAAUGCCUAUGAUGCUAAAGUAAAUGCUGAAA
rnacentral:lncRNA from 1 species